AUAUCCAUGUUGUGGGCAUCUCCUUAAUAAUCCUUGUAUCUCUCCCAACAUUCAUAGAAUUGUUCGUCAGUUUUUUGAGAGAAAGCUACAAUCUCAUAUCUCAAUUU